rnacentral:rRNA from 1 species
UACGGAGGGGACUAGCGUUGUUCGGAAUCACUGGGCGUAAAGCGCACGUAGGCGGAUGUGCCAGUCAGGGGUGAAAUCCCGGAGCUCAACUUCGGAACUGCCUCUGAUACAGCACGUCUUGAGUCCGGAAGAGGUGGGUGGAAUUCCUAGUGUAGAGGUGAAAUUCGUAGAUAUUAGGAAGAACACCGGUGGCGAAGGCGGCCCACUGGUCCGGUACUGACGCUGAGGUGCGAAAGCGUGGGGAGCAAACAGG